AACGAACGCUGGCGGCAUACCUAACACAUGCAAGUCGAACGAGAUCUUCGGGUCUAGUGGCGCACGGGUGCGUAACGCGUGGGAAUCUGCCCUUGGGUUCGGAAUAACUUCGGGAAACUGAAGCUAAUACCGGAUGAUGACGUAAGUCCAAAGAUUUAUCGCCCAAGGAUGAGCCCGCGUAGGAUUAGCUAGUUGGUGAGGUAAAGGCUCACCAAGGCGACGAUCCUUAGCUGGUCUGAGAGGAUGAUCAGCCACACUGGGACUGAGACACGGCCCAGACUCCUACGGGAGGCAGCAGUGGGGAAUAUUGGACAAUGGGCGAAGCCUGAUCCAGCAAUGCCGCGUGAGUGAUGAAGGCCUUAGGGUUGUAAAGCUCUUUACCCGGGAUGAUAAUGACAGUACCGGGAGAAUAAGCUCCGGCUAACUCCGUGCCAGCAGCCG
rnacentral:rRNA from 1 species